rnacentral:rRNA from 1 species
AUACGGAGGGUGUAAGCGUUAUCCGGAAUCAUUGGGUUUAAAGGGUCCGUAGGCGGACUAUUAAGUCAGAGGUGAAAUCCCACAGCUCAACUGUGGAACUGCCUUUGAUACUGGUAGUCUUGAGUUAUAUGGAAGUAGGUAGAAUGUGUAGAGUAGCGGUGAAAUGCAUAGAUAUUACACAGAAUACCGAUUGCGAAGGCAGUCUACUACGUAUAUACUGACGCUAAGGGACGAAAGCGUGGGGAGCGAACAGGAUUAGAAACCCUUGUAGUCC